rnacentral:rRNA from 1 species
ACCCGAAGCCGGUGGCCUAACCCUUGUGGGGGGAGCCGUCGAAGGUGGGACCAGCGAUUGGGACUAAGUCGUAACAAGGUAGCCGUACCGGAAGGUGCGGCUGGAUCACCUCCUUUCUAAGGAG